AGAUCGAGAAGAGCAUCUGUAUUCGACACAUCUUUGUUCUGCGUCAACUGGGAUUCUAAUUGUCCACUCACAAUUUCUACCAUCUGUCGUAACUGCAAUCUGAGACAAAUCUACACCAUGAAGACUGCCUAUAUCAUAGUUGCGCUGGUGAUAGCCAUCGGGUUGCUCCAAACUUCGGAUGCCCUGUAUGUGUGCGGCGGACACAUUUUUCCAUGUCCCGACUACCAGCGAAAACGCAAUGCCAUAGCAGCUCGACGAUCGUCCAAAUUCGAAGUGAUGGAAGAGGCGAGUGCAAGAAAACAAGCAGAAUAAUGAAUGCCGUAUUGUACAGGUUUCGUUCCACGUGAGUUCGUCACAAGAGUUCAAAAUAUGAUGUAUUACCACAAUACUAAAUAAAUCACAAAUAGUUAUACCAGUCA